ACUCCUACGGGAGGCAGCAGUAGGGAAUAUUGGGCAAUGGAGGCAACUCUGACCCAGCCACGCCGCGUGCAGGAGGAAGGCGCUCUGCGUUGUAAACUGCUUUAGCAGGGGAAGAAGAUACCGAUGCGUCGGGAAUUGACGGUACCCUGAGAAUAAGCACCGGCUAACUACGUGCCAGCAGCCGCGGUAAUACGUAGGGUGCAAGCGUCGUCCGGAUUUAUUGGGUUUAAAGGGUGCGUAGGCGGUCUAUUAAGUCAGUGUUUAAAUUUUGCAGCUCAACUGUAGGUAUGGCAUUGAUACUGAUGGACUUGAAUAUUAUAGAGGUAGCUGGAAUUUAUGGUGUAGCGGUGAAAUGCAUAGAUACCAUAAGGAACACCGAUAGCGGAGGCAGGUUACCAUGUGAUUAUUGACGCUGAGGCACGAAAGUGUGGGGAUCAAACAGGAUUAGAUACCCUGGUAGUCCACACUGUAAACGAUGAUUACUAGAUGCCGGGGGCUUGCCUUCGGUGUUCAAGCGAAAGCGAUAAGUAAUCCACC
rnacentral:rRNA from 1 species